UACGUAGGCAGCGAGCGUUGUUCGGAAUUACUGGGCGUAAGAGGGUGUAGGCGGGGUUCCCAGUCUGUUGGGAAAUCUCCCGGCUUAACUGGGAGGGUGCAGCGGAAACUAGAAUGCUAGAGGGUGGGAGAGGUAAGCGGAAUUCCUGGUGUAGCGGUGAAAUGCGUAGAUAUCAGGAGGAACACCUGUGGUGUAGACAGCUUACUGGACCACUUCUGACGCUGAGACACGAAAGCGUGGGUAGCAAACAGG
rnacentral:rRNA from 1 species